UGGGUUGCCAAGUCCAAACAGCCUCAAGCAGCACCUAGCACACCUGUACAAGAAACAGCUUCUCCUACCUGGCCAGCAACGCUCUUCAUAGAGGAGGCGGAGGGGAAAACAGGGAUGAAAAAGAAGAGAGGAGGACUGCAGAACAGGUGUUGCUGGAACAGGAAAUAAACAGAGGCUUGUUGCGGCGGCGUUAUCACUCCCUGUCUGUUUGGAGUGGAACCAAGAGCUACAAAUCUGCAGAACCGCCCAGUGGCAGGCGAGAUGGGAAUAACUCAUCAGGACUUCUGGCAUCCUGUAAUGCCAGAAUCUGGCAUCCCACAUUAAAAGUGCAACACAAAACCAGACAGUCUGGAGAUGUUUUCGCAGUGGGAUGGUUUGGCAACGGCGAGAAUCCCUAGUGAGGGAGAAAGAAAAAUGACGGGCAGCGGAGGGAGGAAUGAAGUCUCAUUUGGCAAGAGACUCAAACACCCACCCACCCACAUACAGGAGAACAAGGACCCAGUUGGCUGAGGUUUCUGAUAAACCACUGCAGUGUGGGAAAGCUCAUCACUCAUCUUCAAAUGGUUAUCAGAAAAAAAGCUAAAGAGCACACACUGGGAGUCUGUUUGGGGAAAAACUUCCAGUAGAUACAAAAGAACCUGUGCUCACACUCACAUGCGUAUUUCAUUCACAGGUCAGGCAAAUGUUGUAAAGACAUUAUUUUAUUCAACCUAAAAGUAUACAUAGUUUGACAGAGCAGCAGUUUGGAUGGACUGGGAUAUACUGUCUAACGUUUGCAUUUGUACAUACCAUUAUGCCCUUCAUGAAUGUUCUAAUAUAAGAUCAUAUCACCAACCUGAUUUCACCAAGUAAGAUAUGUUCCUGGAUUAACAUCUAUAUUGAUCCUGGAACAACAUUCCAAUCAGCCAAUCAGAAUUAGGGGCCCUUUUACUGUUUAUGUUAAUUUAGGCUUAGUUACUGCUAUUCAACUAUAACCCCCCUCUGAUUUUUAGAAUAAUUUACAGUUAUGGUUGGGUUUAGGGGUAGGGAAUAGGUAUGGAUUAUAUUUUUGAACAAAAAUUAUGUACCAGGAUCAACAUAGAUGUUAAUCCAGGAUCACAUCGUAUUUGGCAAAAUCAUGACAUGCACAUAUCACAUGUGAAUAGUGUCUUCAAAACAGAAAGUUCAUAGAUUGUUAUGCUUGUUGAAUCAUUGGCUCAGUCAAAAUGUGUUGACAAUGAAAUCAAAUGUAUUUAAUUAAUUGUAAAAAAUAAAUGUUUAAAGACAUGAGGCUCAGAUUGCUUCCAUACAAUUAUUUAGAAACAAAAGCUUUAGCUAUUGCUCAGCCAGGCAGACUCAUAAUAAGUCAUUCAUAAUAAUUAUCUCGUCAGCCUAUAAUGACAAAGCGCUCUACAUAUAGGCUCAUCUUAACAAUCUGUUUCUCUGUACGUGAGGUCGGCCUAGUCUCCACUCGGGGAUUGG
rnacentral:lncRNA from 1 species